AUUGAACGCUGGCGGCAGGCCUAACACAUGCAAGUCGAACGAGUGGCGGACGGGUGAGUAAAGUCUGGGAAACUGCCUGAUGGAGGGGGAUAACCACUGGAAAAGGUAGCUAAUACCGCAUACCAUCGGAUGUGCCCAGAUGGGAUUAGCUAGUAGGGGGGGUAAAGGCUCACCUAGGCGACGAUCCCUAGCUGGUCUGCGAGGAUGACCAGCCACACUGGGACUGAGACACUGUCCAGACUCCUAGGGGAGGCAGCAGUGGGGAAUAUUGCACAGUGGACGCAAGCCUGAUGCAGCCAUGCCGCGUGUAUGAAGAGGGCCUUCGGGUUGUAAAGUACUUUCAGCGGGGAGUCGUUACCCGCAGAAGAAGCACCGGCUAACUCCGUGCCAGCAGCCGCGGUAAUUC
rnacentral:rRNA from 1 species